rnacentral:miRNA from 2 species
CUUGGAUUGAAGGGAGCUCU